UACGGAGGAUGCAAGCGUUAUCCGGAAUGAUUGGGCGUAAAGCGUCCGCAGGUGGCUAUGUAAGUCUGCUGUUAAAGAGUGAGGCUCAACCUCAUAAGAGCAGUGGAAACUACAUGGCUAGAGUGCGUUCGGGGCAGAGGGAAUUCCUGGUGUAGCGGUGGAAUGCGUAGAGAUCCGGAAGAACACCGGUGGCGAAGGCGGUCUGCUGGGCAGUUGCUGACACUGAUGCGCGACAGCGUGGGGAGCAAACAGG
rnacentral:rRNA from 1 species